UACGAAGGGGGCUAGCGUUGUUCGGAAUUACUGGGCGUAAAGCGCGCGCAGGCGGUUCUCCAAGUCAGUGGUGAAAGCCCGGAGCUCAACUCCGGAACUGCCAUUGAAACUGUUGAACUUGAGGACGAGAGAGGUGAGUGGAAUUCCCAGUGUAGAGGUGAAAUUCGUAGAUAUUGGGAAGAACACCAGUGGCGAAGGCGGCUCACUGGCUCGUAUCUGACGCUCAGGCGCGAUAGCGUGGGGAUCAAACAGG
rnacentral:ncRNA from 2 species